AAAAAAAAAAAAAUUAAGAUAUUUGUCUCUCGCACGCGUGCGUUGCAACUAAGUUGGUUAAAUAUGGCGGUUGAUGUGCGUUAUACCAAUGGAGACACCGUAGAAAAUAAACUAACUCAAGCUGACAGCGAUAUGGAAGACGAUGACAAAGAAGAUAAAAGCAAAACGGAAUCAUUUCAUAAAAAGAAAAAGAAAAAGGAAAAAAAAAAGCGCAAACAUAAAAAAAAGAAAGAGAAAUCUGAUAAUGAUGUUUUAUCUGUUCUUAUUGAUAUGGCUGAUUUAGAUCAAUUGGAAAAUCGCAAAAGGCUGUUACAGCAGCAACUAGAAGAAACAACUAAUUUCAGUAGUGUAAUUGCUGUUUCAGAUGCUAACAGUGAAUAUUCAGAAAUAAUGAAAGAUCUAACAGCAAAUGAUUCUGAAGUUGCUCGUUUAGUUGAGGACUGUAAAAAGGAAGCUUUAAAGCCAGAUAAUGAAAGUAAAAAUGAAAAAAAAAGUCAUUCUGUUUAUAGUUCAUCGAGUAAAAAUGAUAAAAAAGAUGAUAAGAAAAGUUAUGACAGUCGUUCAGAUGGAUCAAGAAAAGACCGAUAUCAUAGCAAUGAUUCUAGAGAUAUGGUUGACUCCAAAAUUCAUUCAAGGACUGAUACUAGACGAGAUUCUGAAAGAAGAGAAGACACAUAUCGCCGUGAAAAAACACACAGAAAGGAAGAAAGUGAAAAACGUGAUUCAGACAGAAGACGAGAUGAUUCUAGAUUUGAUAAAUCAGAUAAUCGAAAAGAAGAGCCUGUGCGCAAUCGUAGCAAUGAGAGAUCAGAUUUCAGAGUAAAAAGUAAUCAAGUUCGGUCUAAUGAUGAUUUUGAUAGAUUAGAUGAAAGAAAGGUUUCUGAUCGUUCUUCUGUUGAUAAAAGGUAUAGAGAUGAUGGGAGAGGUAGAGAUGUUAGAGAUAGAGAUGUUAGAGAUAGAGAUGGAAAAGAUAGAAACAGAGAUAGAGAAGGUAGAGAUAGAGAGGGAAGAGAUAGAGAUGGAAGAGAUAGAGAGGGAAGAGAUAGAGACGGAAGAGAUAGAGACGGAAGAGAUAGAGAUGGAAGAGAUAGAGAUGGAAAAGAUAGAGAUGGUAGAGAUAGAGAUGGUAGAGAUGGAAGAGAUAGAGAUGGAAGAGAUAGAGAUACUGGUCGUGACAUAUAUGGUAGAGACAAACCAAGAAGUUUUGAAAGAUAUAGAACCAAUGAUGAAGCACAUAAGCAGUUUUCUUCAAGAGAAAAUCGUUUACGGAAUGAAGAGCAUGAAAAAAAGCAAGAAUCAUCUGAGGAUGAAAUCAACCUUGAUGACUUUGCUGAAAAAAUGGAAGUUGACGAAGAAGAACUAAUAGCAAAACGUCGAGAAGAGCGUAAAGCUUUAAUUGCAAAGCUAAAACCACCUACUCCUGAGCCACCCACUCCUGAGCCAGUUAAGGAACCUAUAAAAAUACCAUCACCUACAAUUGAUGUAAUUAAAAAAGAAUUAACCGAUAAUAGUGAUAGUGAUUCAAGCGCCUCAAGUAACAACUCUGACUCUGAUUCAUCUUCUUCCGAUUCUAAAAGUGAAAAAGAGCAGCAAAAGUCUCACGUUUUGAAAAGAAAGCAAGAAAUUGAAAAAGAAAAGUUUGAAAAACGUAAACAUAAAAAACUUAUGCAACAUUUGCAAAAGGAAAGAAUAAAAUUGAGUGAAAAGUACAAAACAUUAAGUAAAAAUAGUAAAGAUCGUGAAAAAUUAAAGGGGAAAAUAAAAGAAUUAGAUAAACAAUUGCAAAAAGAAAAAAUUAAAGAAGAUAAUAGAGUUAGAAAAAGAGAGAUUGAAAAGCUCAAAGAUCGAGAAAAAGAAUUAAGAGAAAGAUUAAGACUCAGAGAGAAAAAACGUGAACAAGAAAAAGUCUCGGAACAAAAAAAUAAAUUAGAACCAGGAAAAAAAAAUUCUGAAUAUAAAACAAACAAAUAUACUUCUGAAAAUUCGGACAAAACAAAUAAAUAUAGUUCAGAAAACCCUGACAAAACAAGCAAAUAUAAUUCAGAAAAUAAACAUGAAAUUAAUAUAAAAAGAAAUAAAGAAAUUAAUUCUGAUGAAGUACCUGAUCCUAAAAAAGCUAAAAAUGAAAUAGCAGAAAGAUUAGUUAGUAAACCAGAAGAUGCGACUAAUGAUAACAAUGAAAGCUCUGACGAAGAUAAAACAAUGGGUAUGGAUAUGUUUGCUGAAGAAGCUAAUAAUAUGUUUUCAGAGAAAUUUGAGAGCCCAAUCGGAAGUGGCGGAAAUCGAAUGCAAGCUAGACCAGAAGGUAAUAAUCCAAAUCUUACAGAUAACUGGGAUGAUGCUGAAGGAUAUUACAAAACUCGUAUUGGAGAGAUUUUAGAUAAGCGUUACAGUGUGUAUGGAUAUACAGGGCAAGGUGUAUUUAGCAAUGUAGUCCGCGCACGUGAUUCUAUGAAAAAUAAUCAAGAAGUUGCAAUCAAGAUUAUUAGGAGUAAUGAAGUGAUGAACAAACAAGGCCGCCAGGAGAUGAAAAUUUUAGAACGUCUCAAUUCAGCUGAUCCAGAAGACAAAUACCAUUGCUUACAGAUGUUCAGACAUUUUUAUCACAAGCAACAUUUGUGUUUAGUUUUAGAGAGUCUAAGCAUGAAUCUCAGAGAAGUACUGAAGAAAUAUGGUAAUAAUGUCGGUCUACACAUUAAAGCUGUACGCUCAUAUGCUCAACAACUUUUACUUGCAUUGCGAUUGCAAAGAAAAUGUGGGAUCAUACAUGCUGAUAUUAAACCUGAUAAUAUAUUGGUUAAUGAAUCAAAACUUGUUCUGAAGCUUUGUGAUUUUGGAUCAGCAUCUACUAUAAGUGAAAACAAUAUUACACCAUAUUUAGUUAGCAGAUUUUAUAGAGCUCCUGAAAUAAUAAUUGGACGUCCCUAUGAUACUAUGAUUGAUCUGUGGUCAGUUGCAUGUACUUUAUAUGAACUUUAUACAGGAAAGAUAUUAUUUGCGGGCAAAACAAACAAUGAAAUGUUAAAACUUAUGAUGGAUGUUAAAGGGCGAAUGCCAAAUAAACUUAUUAAAAAGGCAAUGUUUCGAGAUAAACAUUUUGAUGAAAAUUUUAACUUUAUGUAUAUUGAAGUAGACAAAAUAACUCAGAAGGACAAAGUUACAUUCAUAAACUAUACAUCUGCUACAAAAGACUUAAUGGACAUGUUGGUUGGAAAGCAAAAGCUUAAUGAAGAUAUGAAACGUAAAGUUGGUCAGCUUCGAGAUUUAUUGGAUCGCAUGUUAUGUUUGGAUCCUUCGAAAAGGAUUCCAGUAAGCCAGUGUUUAACACAUCCAUUUAUUUCAGAAAAGAUGCUAUAAAUAAUUUUCAAAAAGCUUUUCAACAAUAAGACUUAAAAACAUUGGAUGAACUGUAGAAAUCUCGACAGCUGUGUUCACUGAAAGAACUCCAAAGAGUUUGAUGGAAUUUUUAUGAUGGUUAUGGCUUCAAACAUGAAGAAUCCUAAUGAAGAAUCUUUGGAGAUCAGCAUUCUAGUUUAUUCGGCACUCAAAAUUGUCAAAAGUUCACCAAAAUGACGAUCUUAUUCCGCUUUUGAAAUAAAAUUAUAUAUACACACACUACUGAGAUAUGUCUCAUAAGAAAAGUAGCAGAAUCUAAAAUUGUUAAUCCUUCUGCAAGAUAAUGUGUAAAAAGAAAAAAAAGCGACCGUUAAAACAGAUCAUUAUUGAUUGUGGUAUCACGAAAUGUUUAAUAGCUUAGUGAAUAAGGCUUAUUUUUUACUUAGUAACGAGUUACUUUCAUUAAAAAUUAUAAAAGUAUUUGAACUUCAUUGGUUUGAAUGAAUCAUAUAAUACACGCAAUUUUACGAUACUGACACCGGUACCGCUUGACGUUAGAUUCAAGUUGCAAAACUGGCUUGAAUCUAACUGACGUUAGAUUCAAGCUGCAAAACAUCAAGAUGCAAAACUGCAUAUACAACAUGCAAGAUACGCAACCUAAACACGCAUUCCAAUAAACGAUCAAAGACAAUGAAUAAAAAAGAAUUGGUCUGGAAUUCCUAGAGAACAGCAGCAGCUAGCUAAAAACCAUGACAGCACAAGAGUAAAUUCAUCAAUUAAAGCAGUCAUUGCUGAAAUUAAAGUUGGCUUUUUUCAGUUUAGUCAGUUGAUACUAGUACUGCUGCAGCAUGCUGCUGAUAACAUUAUUUAAACAUACAUUAGUAGUAUCAACUCAUCACUUGAUGACCUUUAUAACUCCACGGUUGAAAAUUGUUUUUCUUGUACUAAAGACUGCCUUGCCAGCGAUUGCAACCUGCAAACGUUAAUUUAGUGUAGCAAGCCAAGUGGUUAUACCAAAUCGAAUUAAUAUAGUAAAUAAACAUUUUCAUCAAUUAAAAACUAUUGUGAACCUGUAUGUUGUAAUAAACAUUAACAUGUUGAUUGAAUCAAUAUCAAGUUUUAAUCCGAGAUGAUUUAAAAACCUGUUUCUUGUUGUA